rnacentral:ncRNA from 1 species
GGAGUUAUUAGAUUGGGCCUUGGUAUGGAAACCCGCCGAGUGAGAACUUUCAAAUUCAGAGAAACCCCGGAAUUAAUAAAAAGGGGCAAUCCUGAGCCAAAUCCUGUUUUAUGAAAACAAAGGUUCAGAAAAUCAAAAAAGGGAUAGGUGCAGAGACUCAAUGGAAGCUGUUCUAACAAAUGGAAUUGGCUGCGGUAGUAGAGAAGUCUUUCCAUCAAAAAUUCAGUAAGUAUUAGUAUAAGUAUUAAGGAUGAGGUGAAGGAUAAGCGUAUACGUAGUAAAUAGUAUAUUAGUAUACGUAGUAAAUAGUAUAUUAAAUGAGUAAUGACAGCCCGAAUGAAUCUAUGUUUUUUCUAUGAAAAAAACAAAGAAUUGGUGUGAAUAGAUUCUACGUUGAAGAAAGAAUCGAAUAUUCAUUGAUCAAAUGAUUCACUCCAUAGUCUGAUAAAUCUUUUCAAGAACGGAUUAAUCGGACGAGAAUAAAGAUAGAGUCCCAUUCUACAUGUCAAUGCCGGCAGCAAUGAAAUUUAUAGUUAAGAGGAAAAUGCGUCGACUUUUAAAAUCGUGAGGGUUCAAGCCCCUCUAUCCCCAAAUAAACUAUUUGACUCCCCAACUAUCUAUUUACCUAUCCCUCUUUUUAUUAUCAGUUCCAAAUUUCUUAUCCAUUCACUCUACUCUCUUAGAAUUGAUCGGUGCGGAAAUGCCCUUUUCUUAUCACAUCUAUAUGAUAUACAUACAAAUGAACAAAUGAACAUCCUUGAGCAGAAUACCCAUUUGAAUGAUUUACAAUCUAUAUAUUACUAAUACUGAAACUCCUAAAGUCCUCUUUUUUAAGAUCCAAGCCGAGCAAUUUCAGUACCUAAA